rnacentral:lncRNA from 1 species
CUUUAAUGAAAAAAUGAAAGAAGCAGGUAUGAGGAGUUAAUAUCAUAAACAAACAAGUAUGAUUUCACAUGGUUUAAUACUCUAACUCAAGCUAGGUUUUCCUCUGCUCCCCCUUUUUACUUCCAUUUUUAGAAAGGAAAUAAAUGAUAACUUGGAAACUUCUAGUGGUAAAGAAUCUUUCUACUGGCAAGAGAGGAAAACAUGAUUUGAGAGUAAGAGAUACCUGGUGUGGGACAAACCUGAUGAAGUGCUUAGGGCAAUCUAAAGGUAAAAGAUGGUGAUAAAAAGGUAAUACAAGAGACCAAAGUAGGAAGAACUGGUAGAAAACACUGCUUAUUUAAUUAUUUUUCCUAAGGCUAUGGAAGCAGCUGGUAUGCUACUGAAAUUCAACUGCAUUGAUACCAUUCUGUUAUGUCGGUACUAUACAAAAAUAUCUGAGUUAGAUGGCAGUGUACUUAAUCUUUCUUAAUCUAGCAUCUUCAGUUGAUUCCAAUGAUAUCCUUCUCUGUGAAAAAAAAAUCACCAUAUGAAGAAGAGAAAAAAGGAAGAUACUUAACUCUGCCAUGGCAUUUAAAUGCUCCACCAGUUAAGAUAAAAUAACAUGGACAGAUUUCUCCCACCACCUGAAAACACUAAAACAAGACAGAGCGUAUGAAACAAUGGCACUCAAGACACUGAAGAUGGGCAAUAAAGGAGUGAUCAUUCAGAGGAAGAAAAAAAAUGAGAUCAUCUGUAUGACUAUGAUUUUCCAAGCUUACUACCUGGAGAAAGGGGACAGUGCGGUCACUGUACAGUCAGGUGAGUGUUGAGGAGAUAAACCUGGGAGUAUGAAGAAGCCAAGUGUGCUCAAGUUCAUGUGGCUGAGUCCCGGAAUAAAAAGCUGUGUAGACAGAGAACUCCAGACACCUGCACUGAGUCACUCCUAAGAUACAGUUCAGUACUUCUUAGCACAUACAUGUAAGGAAACAAUCAGAGGCUGGGAAAAAAACUGCCUAAGAGGAUUAGAGGGAAGACAUGCCAAAUCUUACACAGAGCAUGAAAUGGGGACUAUUCUGAAGAUCCAGAAUUUUAAAAUCUCAAACCUUAUGAGCCACUGAUUAGACUGACAUAUGAAGGAUUUUGCUUCAGAAAAUUAAUCUUACACUAAAUGCAGGUUUUGCCCCUCCUAACAAAGGUGAAAAGCAAGACUGAAAGGAAAGUCUCAGGUAAUUUAACCUAUCUCAGAAUAAAGCUCAAGAACUAAUCACGAUUAGAUCUAACACUCAACAAGGGAAACUUCACAAUGUUUGGCAUCCAAUAAAGAAAUUAUCAGGUAUGCAAAGAAGCAAAAUGAAAAAAACCUAGCAGAAAAAUUAAUCAAUCGAAACUGACUCAGAAAAUUGAUAAAAUUAGGAGACAGGGACACUAACAAUUAUGAUGAUAUAUUCCAUGGGUUUGAAGAACCAGAGGAAUGAUCGAAUGUGGUAAGAGGAGAUACGGAACUUUUCUUAAAAGCCUAAAUCAAACUUCCAAAGGUAAAAACUAAAAUGUCUUAGAUAAAAAUACACUGAAAGAGACUGACAGCACAUCAGAUAUUACAAAAGAAAAUGUUAAUGAACCUGAAGACAUAUCAACAGAAAGCAUAAACACAACAGAAAGACUAAAAAAAUGCAAAUAAUCAGUAAAUUGUGGAACAACUUCAAGUAGAUAAAUACAUGUGUAAUUGAAGUCCCCACAAAAGAGAUGAGAAAAGAAGAAAUCAAGAAAACAUUUGAAGAAGUGAUGGUCAAAAUUGUUCCAAAUUUAAUGAAAACUAUCACCAAAAGCAGCUCAGUAAAUUCAAUGUACAAGAAAAAAACGAAGAAAACUACACAAAGGAACAUUAUAUUCAAAUGGAUUAAAGUUGUAAAGAUAAAAACAGAAGUAGUCAGAAAAAUUACACAUUAUCUACAAAAGAAAAGAGGUAAGGCUGACAAGAGAUUCAUCAGAAAUAAUAAAAGAUAGAACAAGUGGCACACUAUCUUUAAAGUAUUGAAAGAAUAAAAGCCGCUAAUCUAGAAGUCCUUGCCAGUUAAAUGAUCUUUGAAAAGCAAAAGGUGAAAUUUUGUAAAACAACACAACACAACUUUGAGUCACACAAAAGGAUAUAGUUUGGAUAUUUGUCUCCACCCAAAUCUCAUAUUGAAAUGUAAUUACCAGUGUUGGAGGUGAGACCUAGUGGGAGGUGUUUGGAUCAUGGGGGAAGAUCCUUUACAGCUUGGUGCUGUCCUUACAGUAGUGAGUACUCACAAGAUCUGAUUGUUUAAGUGUGUAGCACCUCACCCACAUUCUCUCUUGCUCCUGUUUUCACCAUGUGAAGUGCUUGCUCCCACUUCAUGUCCCACUAUUAGUAAAAGCUUCCUGAGGCCUCUACAGAAGCUGAACAGAUGCCAGCGCCAUGCUUGCACAGCCUACAAAACUUUAAGCCAAUUAAACCUCUUUAUAAAUUAUCCAGUCUCAGGUAUUUCUUUAUAGCAACACAAGAAUUGCCUAAUAUAGAAAACUGGUACCAAGGAGUGGGGCUCUGCUAUAAAGAUAUCUGAAAAUGUGAAAGCAACUUUGGAAGUGGGUAACAGGCAGAGGUUAGAAUAGUCUGGAGGGCUCAGAAGAAGACAGGAAGAUGAGGGAAAGUUUGGAACUGCUUAGAGAUGAGUUAAAUGGUUGUGACCAAAAUGAUGAUGUUGAUAUGGACAAUCAAGUCCAGGCUGCUGAGUUCUCAGAUGGAAAUGACAAACACACUGGGAACUGGAGCAAAGGUAACUCAUAUUAUGCCUUAACAAAGAGCUUGGUUGCAUUGUGUUCAUGUCCUAGGGAUCUGUGUAAGUUUGAAAAUGAAAGAUAAUUGGGUCGGGUAUGGUGGCUCAUGCCUGUAAUCCCAGCACUUUGGGAGGCU